AUGAGCCGCCUUGCUGAAAUAAAUUUCAGCAAGGCGCCUUGCAAAAUAAAUUGUUGUUGAAUUCAGGAGAGUGCCUAUUCAGCAUGCUCCUCUGAGCAUCAAUGGAGCGACUGUGGAGAGCUCUGUGUGAGCAGCACCAAGUUCCCUUUCAGUCGGUCACGGUCACCCAGGGGUUUUGCAGGAGGCGCGCACUGCUACCGACCUCGCUCUCCGAGCGACGAAGGUCACUGCGCGCUCCUUGGGUCAGGUAAUGUCCACUUUGGUGGUCCAGGAGCGCCACCUAUGGCUGAACCUGGCAGACAUGAGGGAGUCUGAUCGGGCUCAGCUCCUCAACUCCCCGGUCUCCCAGGAUGGCCUUCAGACACAUCCUGCCCCGGCGGCCCACUGCUGCUUCCACCCCGCCGCCGGCGCAACCUCAGCCUGCUCGUCGCCGAGGGCACCCCCUGGCAAAACGGCGUUCCUGAGAAGGCGACCUGGAGUUGGAGACGUCAGCUCAUCAGGAGAUGGUAGCAGGACCACUCCUUCCCCCGGAGGAGGGCUGGGGGAGAAUCCUUUGUUCUUGAUUUCUUUUUGUUCCGCCACUGGCCCUGCGGCCGGUUGUACCCAAACCUUCACUAAAAGUGCUGUUUCCUCUACCUCCAGGUCCCAAGAGGCCAAGAACGACAGGUGGCGUGCUUCCUCGCCGCUCUCGUUCUCCUCUCCCCUUGCCAGUUUCCAUGCAAUGACGGCUCAAGAAUGCUUCGCCUUCUCAUGCCCUCUUUGCCACUUGGAGUCAGACGAGUGCCCGCACUCCGCCCCCGCAAUGGGACGCUAUGUCUCCCAUGCCGGGGCUCUCUGCUCCACCACGCUGCCCCACUGUGGGUACGCCUGUAGUCCUCUUGACCCCGUUGGUUUGGUUGCUGGGAGCCUGGCUAGAGCUCCCCAGGCCUUCCCGCUGGCUCAUCCGGACACUCAGGCUCGGCUUCGCGAUUCAGUUCGCCCGGCGUCCCCCCAGGUUUUGGGGUGUCCACGCGAUGAUGGUGGG
rnacentral:lncRNA from 1 species